rnacentral:rRNA from 1 species
UUAGUACGGCGAGUGAGCGGCAAAAGCUCAAAUUUGAAAUCUGGUACCUUCGGUGCCCGAGUUGUAAUUUGGAGAGGGCAACUUUGGGGCCGUUCCUUGUCUAUGUUCCUUGGAACAGGACGUCAUAGAGGGUGAGAAUCCCGUGUGGCGAGGAGUGCGGUUCUUUGUAAAGUGCCUUCGAAGAGUCGAGUUGUUUGGGAAUGCAGCUCUAAGUGGGUGGUAAAUUCCAUCUAAAGCUAAAUAUUGGCGAGAGACCGAUAGCGAACAAGUACAGUGAUGGAAAGAUGAAAAGAACUUUGAAAAGAGAGUGAAAAAGUACGUGAAAUUGUUGAAAGGGAAGGGCAUUUGAUCAGACAUGGUGUUUUGUGCCCUCUGCUCCUUGUGGGUAGGGGAAUCUCGCAUUUCACUGGGCCAGCAUCAGUUUUGGUGGCAGGAUAAAUCCAUAGGAAUGUAGCUUGCCUCGGUAAGUAUUAUAGCCUGUGGGAAUACUGCCAGCUGGGACUGAGGACUGCGACGUAAGUCAAGGAUGCUGGCAUAAUGGUUAUAUGCCGCCCGUCUUG